CUUCGGUAUAAACCUUUUCUCUUUCUCUCACUUCAUUCAUUCAGACAUUCCCUAUUUUUUGAGUUUUUUUUUUCAACUCCUCGUUCCACAACAAAAUCAAAUCCUAAAAAGGAGGAUGAAGAAGGGUAAAAUCCGACAAGUAAGAUGAGACCGAGGCUCGAAGCAAGAUGCUUUCGGUUUGAUUUUUGAAGAGGAUGAAGCCAUUGAAGUGGAAGGGACGAAGAGUUCUGAGAAAUCAACGUCCUUUCGCCCUAAAGUUCCAACGACUGGUUUCGUCCUCCUUUACUGUGUUAUUACGGUCAAUAUAAGGCAAGUUUUGAUUUUGAUAUUUUUUCCCCUUCAUAAAAAUAGUUUAAAUCUCAAAAUAUGUGGAUGGUGUCUUCAAUACAAUUCACUUGUUCGAGAUUUGGGUUACUUGUUUUUCGGAAGCAACUUUUUUUCUUAUUGCUUAAAAUAGAUGACUCUUUUUGUUUGACUUGUCACCUUCGUGUAAUCUGGAGAGGUUUUUGUAGUCCAUCACCCCUUUUAGUUCCAGCUCAACAUUUAUUUAACGUUUUAUUGCUUGUAAAUGAAUUGAAUUUUUAGAAUUUGUACUUAAUUAAUUUUAAUUUAUCAGUAAUAUUAAUUAUAUCAUUUCAUUGCCUUUAUAUAAAAGAGUGAAUGUUGGCUCUACUGUUCAUUUUGCUGCCCUCCGAUUCACACUGAAACUGGUUCUUUACUGUUCAUUAUCUAGUUAUUCAAUAAGAUAUAGAUAUUUUACAUAAAGAGCAUUUGCUUUCUUUUUCUUCAUUCACUCUCUCUUGCUUUUUCAUGAGUUUCUUUCUCAACAAACCGAGCCAAAGCAAUCCCUAAGAAGGAGAGAAAAGGUAAGAUUCAAACUAAUUACUGGAAUCGACCUUCAAUUUCUUCCAAUCUUGUAAAUUUCUUCAAUUUCUUGAUCACUUUUGCAGAUCCUGUGGAAAUUUUUCCCUUUUUAUGAAAGUUUAACUAAAAUUUCAAACAAAGACUUGAGAGAAAAUUGAACUAUUUUCAGUUCAAGUAAAGAUCUUGGAACAACAACACGACAAUAGCAAAAAGGUCUUAUGAGGAUUCACAGGUAUUCUGGGGAAAAUUUCGGGGGUUAUCUCUAGAUUUUAGAGAGGACGAACGAAUUUUUUCUGGUCUUUCUUAUUUACUCGAAGAUAAUUGAUGGCAGUUUCUACUGCAAAGAUAGAAUCCUGAUAUGGUGGAUAUCAAGUGUUUUGAGCUAAUCGAUUCUGGCUCUGUAAUUAUAUUUAGCUAAAAGGGUGUGUAAUUAAGGGAAAAUUCAUGGUGGAUUAUGUAAAUACGGAAAGGAGAGAGAUUCUCUCAAUUUCUGCUGCUUGAAAUUCUUCAAAUAAUAUUGCCAGAACCUGGAUAGUUUUCAUUUUAUUUGCAUCAGAGGCCUGUUGAAAGAAUUUUGUAUGUUUGCUUUAGAAUUUGAAUUUUUCAGUCCUUAGUUUGAAGGGGUGGUCACAACAUUAUAGAAGAAGAGACCAAUGCAUUUGAAGUUGGGAAUACGAAAAGGUUGGAGAAAUUCUAGACAAGAUAAGAUAUAUGGGGUUUUGAUACCUUCAAUGAAGUAAGUGGAGUGAAAAUGGGUACAACGAUUUUACAUUCUUUGACAGGUGAUAAUCCAGAAUUGCAAAAGCAAACAGGACAGCAUUAUAGAAGAAAAGUCAGUGCAUUGCAAGUUGGGUAUACGAAAAGGUGAUAAUCCAAAAUUGAAAAAGCAAACAUGAUAUAUGACAGGCAUCUUUCAACUGUUCGAUCAUCAGCCUAUUCUUACUGGGAGGUGCAUCGUUGGCCACAACACAGAGAGGCUGCCUCCUGGUUCAGAUGUUCAUUUGCAGGAAAUGCCCACUUCCAUAAUGUACAUUGGAAAUAGAAUCUAAUACUACAGAAUGAAGAUCUGCACUAGUGAAAUCAGGUAAAACGUGGAGGAGCUGGCAAAGAUUAUUGGGGAGCUCAUAUUGAUAAAUUGGUUGAGUGAGUUUCUCCUUGGCGACUUUGACAGUUGUAGUUUCCUUGCCAUUGGUGAAUCAAAUGCAACUUGUGAAAAGAGGUUGGCAUCCAUUGUACUUCAAAUAUAUGAUAGAAGUAUAUUGAUCCUACCAUUGACCUUGGCACAUGUUACCUGUCAUAAAGGAGUUAUGAAAGGUCGGGUCAUGCAAAUGGCCAGGCUUUACUGGAUAAAUAACAGAAAAAUAUAAGGAUUUCACGUGUUGAAAAGGAGAUUUUUUAUUUUAAAUCACAUCAAAUCUUCGAUGUAUAUUUCAUUUGUUACAAGUGAUUAUAUUGAUAGAAGAAAAUUUGGAUGGUUAAUCUGAUUUUUAAUCACAUCAAAUCAUUUGUAUGUUUCGAAUGGAAAGAAUGCCCAUGUGACAAGGCAACUUACUGAAGGUAUUAUCUGGCAUUUAACUUUUAUUAUCUAUAUUUUCCCAUGAUUUAGAUUGAAUUUUGGUUCUAUUAACUUGUUGAAUUCUUUUAGUAAUGUUAUUUGCAUUAAUAGAAUUUGUGAAUGACUAAACCUCAAUAUCAUCCACCACAUGCAACAAUAGUAACGACACUCAAUCCAUGGAUGAUGAGAAUUCCAUAAGACUGGUGAUUGACAUAGUCCAUGAAACUCAAAGAGAGGUGGAAGAAAAUUCACAGAAGACCAAAUGAAUCGAUAAAAAUGGGAGUUGGGGGGAUCACUAACCGAAGCAAAGAAAGAAAUGAAGUCAGGGGAUUCUGAGCACAAGUUGGGGAUUGGUUCCGCAUAUAAGAUUAGUUCUUUGUUCAAUUUACUUAUUGUCAUUCUGAAUCAUGCAUAGUGAUUUGACAUUUAUUGGAUUGUCGAGCAUCAAAAUCUGCUGGUAGGAUAUCAUGUUCCAUGCGGAGGGAAGAAAAAAGGUGCUUUUAUUACCUUGACUUGAUAAUUUUGGUCAUCUAGGUUUAGAAUUUCUAUUGCAGUUCUUCAAUGUUAUUAGGUUCCAUUUGCCAUUUAAUAAAUAUUAGAGUUUUUUCAUAAUUAUUUCCUACUUUGAUGACGUUUGAUAAUAAAGUUGAGUAUCUAUAAUCUC